ensembl:lncRNA
AUGUUUAUUAGUAGGAAAGAACAUUUAGGGGAUUUCAGUAGGAGAAUUGGUUUGAACCAUUGGUAUCCACCAUACAUUGGUUUUCAUCAAGAUUGUUCAAGGUUACAUAUUUAUAUAAGAAAACAAAAAUUCAUAUUUAGGUGCAAUUAGUAAUUCCAGUAUGAAAAAGCACCAUGUCACAAAACAGUUUACAAUACAAAAGUCUUCAAAAUCUAACAUUUAAAACAAUAUUUGUUCAACAGUAAUAACAAUACAGUAAAAAAAUUCUUAUUUCCCUUCAAACAAUACUGCUUAUAUAUUUUGGCACUGAAAAAGAAACUACCACAAACUCACCUUUUUAACCACACAACGCUGUUUUGUGAGUGUCUAUAUACAAGGAAAAACAUGCUUUUGAAGUCAGUCAUUUUGCCAGGUGCAGUUUGAACUGCUUUCUCCUUUAAAAAGAAAACGUCUUAAAGAAGUGAACUUCCUAAGCUGCAGCUUGUCUUGUCUUUUGGCCCAGGACAUGAUCUGGAGAAGCGCCUCUCUCUGACUCAAUCCAUUGAGUGAGUCAGCCCUGCCCGAAAGGCUGGAUCUGAGCCCCUCUUCCUUCUCCAAAUCUGACAAGAAGUGUAGAUCUGAGCGCCCCGAAUGGUCCUGUCUUUUAGGGACUGACCCCAAGUUCUCACUAUGUAUUAAGCAUCCCAAUAUGAUUCUGACCCCAGAUGUGCUGCUCAGGUUCUUUAAUUGCUUAAUUCCUCAAGAUUUUAGUUAAUUAAUUUUAGUCACCUGCACAAAUAGUCUUCAAAUUGAACAUGCAGUCCUUGGUGCUACCGCUAAAAGCUGAACAAUAAAAAGAAAACAAAUCAUUUAAAAUAGUUUUUACAUCUUACACUAAAGAUGCCACUACAAAAACACAAUAGUUUCACACAGUAACUAGUACGGUCUUAAAAAUGCAAACCAACGCUGGUAAGACUUCCAUACAUUCUGCAUAUCAUAUGUACAGAGAGAACAGCUUCUCAACAGGAGAGGACAGUCACAGAGAGAUAAUCUUUUUUUUUUCUGAGUACGUUGCAUAAUAUAAAUACAUUAUCAGCAUAAGAAAACUUUACUCAGACACUAAGAGUUCAAGGAAGGUCUUAACUGGAAGUUAAUAGCAGGGGGACCGUUGCGCGUGCUGGGGGGCACAAAACACAUACACAACCCGUUGCCAAGUUCUCCACCUCCUCUGGUGGCCUGAUCAUCUACUCCCAUUUUACCAGGUAGGUUUAACAUGUCGCUCUGCAGUUACAUGCUCCCAAAGAAUGCAGCAAGAGCUGCCCUCAGUCUUCCUGACUAGAGUCUAAUCUUCCUGACUAGAGUCUUUUCCAUGGGCUUUGCCUGACUGAGAACUGGCUGGAGACUCAGAGUAUCACCAGAUUUGCUCACAACAGAACCUGGAGGGGAUGGAAUUAACACAUCACAAUAGCUAUAGGCAGCUACACGCAGGACACUAGCAAUUGUAGACAGCCAUAAGAAAAAUAUGAGGACUAAAUUAAUUUAAUUCAUAGUCAUCCCUCUCCUUUCAGAGUCAUAAAAGUCUUCCUUAGAAUAUGUAGGUUUGCUCACAAAGCAUUCAUCUAAAGAGGUAUCUGGUUUUACCAAGACACAGAAUGUGCUGAACUCCAUGCUGCUGCAGUUAGUCUGCCCAUGGUAGCUUAUCGAAGGUUAGAUCUGGUAUCUCUACUGUACACUGCAAUGUAGAAACAGCCUGAGGGAACAGAGAUAAAGCUCUCCCUGUGGAACGGUCAUGGACUUAAGCAGGAACAGGACAGUUGGAUCCAUUUGGCCUUUCGCCAUGGCUUAUCUCAAUUUAUUAGUCUCUACAGCAUCAAAAUAUCUGACCAAAUUUACACAAACAAAUUGUCGUGGUUUAAUCCCAGCUGGUGCUAAGCCCCACACAGCUGCUCGCUCACUCCUCAUGGUGGGAUGGGGGAGAGGACUGGAAGGGUAAAAGUGAGAAAACUCAUGCUUUGAGAUAAAAACAGUUCAAUAGGUAAAGCAAAAGCUGCCCACAGAAGCAAAGCAAAACAAGGAAUUCAUUCACCACUUCCCAUGGUCAGGCAGGUGUUCAGCCAUCUCCAGGAACGCUGGGCUCCGUCACACGUAACGGCUACUUGGGAAGACAAACACCAUCACUCUGAACAUCCCCCCUUCCUUCUUCUUCCCCCC